GAUGAACGCUGGCGGCGUGCCUAACACAUGCAAGUCGAGCGAACAGACGAGGAGCUUGCUCGUCUGACGUGAGCGGCGGACGGGUGAGUAACACGUGGAUACCUGACCUAUAGGGCUGGGAUAACUAAGGGAAAGCGGAGCUAACACCGGAUAAUAUGGUGAACGGCAGGGUUCAUUGGUGAAAACCGGUUUUGAUGUGCCUAAUUGGGGUUACCGGGCCGGAUUAGCUAGUUGGUAGGGUAACGGCUUACCAAGGCGACGAUGCGUAGCCGACCUGAGAGGGUGAUCGGCCACACUGGAACUGAGACACGGUCCAGACUCCUACGGGAGGCAGCAGUAGGGAAUCUUCGGCAAAGGGCGAAAGCCUGACGGAGCCACGCCGCGUGUGUGAUGAAGGUCUUCGGAUCGUAAAGCUCUGUUAUUAGGGAGGAACAGAUGUGUAAGUAACUAUGGCCGUCUUGACGGUACCUAAUCAGAAAGCAACGGCUAACUACGUG
rnacentral:rRNA from 1 species